UACAGAGGGUGCGAGCGUUAAUCGGAAUUACUGGGCGUAAAGCGUGCGUAGACGGUAGCGUAAGUCAGAUGUGAAAGCCCCGGGCUCAACCUGGGAAUUGCAUUUGAGACUGCUCUGCUCGGGUGCGGAAGAGGGAAGCGGAAUUUCCGGUGUAGCGGUGAAAUGCGUAGAUAUCGGAAGGAACACCAGUGGCGAAAGCGGCUUCCUGGUCCGACACCGACGUUCAGGCACGAAAGCGUGGGUAGCAAACAGG
rnacentral:rRNA from 1 species